GUUGGACCCUUCGGAAUCAAGGUA
rnacentral:rRNA from 1 species